UACAGAGGGUGCAAGCGUUGUUCGGAAUUAUUGGGCGUAAAGCGCGUGUAGGCGGCUUUGCAAGUCGGGUGUGAAAGCCCUCAGCUCAGCUGAGGAAGUGCGCCCGAAACUGCAGAGCUUGAGUACCGGAGGGGAUGGCGGAAUUCCCCAAGUAGAGGUGAAAUUCGUAGAUAUGGGGAGGAACACCGGUGGCGAAGGCGGCCAUCUGGACGGAUACUGACGCUGAGACGCGAAAGCGUGGGUAGCAAACAGG
rnacentral:rRNA from 1 species